rnacentral:rRNA from 1 species
GGGGAAUAUUGGACAAUGGGGGCAACCCUGAUCCAGCCAUGCCGCGUGAGUGAAGAAGGCCCUAGGGUCGUAAAGCUCUUUCGCCGGGGAAGAUAAUGACUGUACCCGGUAAAGAAACCCCGGCUAACUCCGUGCCAGCAGCCGCGGUAAUACGGAGGGGGUUAGCGUUGUUCGGACUUACUGGGCGUAAAGGGCACGUAGGCGGAUCUGCAAGUUGGGGGUGAAAUCCCGGGGCUCAACCCCGGAAUUGCCCUCAAGACUGCGGGUCUCGAGUUCGAGAGAGGUGAGUGGAAUUCCGAGUGUAGAGGUGAAAUUCGUAGAUAUUCGGAGGAACACCAGUGGCGAAGGCGGCUCACUGGCUCGAUACUGACGCUGAGGUGCGAAAGCGUGGGGAGCAAAC